AUUGAACGCUGGCGGCAGGCCUAACACAUGCAAGUCGAACGGCAGCACAGAAGAGCUUGCUCUUUGGGUGGCGAGUGGCGGACGGGUGAGUAAUGUCUGGGAAACUGCCCGAUGGAGGGGGAUAACUACUGGAAACGGUAGCUAAUACCGCAUAACGUCGCGAGACCAAAGUGGGGGACCUUCGGGCCUCACACCAUCGGAUGUGCCCAGAUGGGAUUAGCUAGUAGGUGGGGUAAUGGCUCACCUAGGCGACGAUCCCUAGCUGGUCUGCGAGGAUGACCAGACACACUGGAACUGAGACACGGUCCAGACUCCGACGGGAGGCAGCAGUGGGGAAUAUUGCACAAUGGGAGCAAGCCUGAUGCAGCCAUGCCGCGUGUAUGAAGAAGGCCUUCGGGUUGUAAAGUACUUUCAGCGGGGAGGAUGGCGGUGAGGUUAAUAACCUUGCCGAUUGACGUUACCCGCAGAAGAAGCACCGGCUAACUCCGUGCCAGCAGCCGCCGUAA
rnacentral:rRNA from 1 species